AAGGAUCAUUAAAGAUUCUGACCUUCGGGUCUAACUUUUCAGCUGUGCGCUUCGGCUGCACGCUGAUAAAACCUUACACACCUGUGCACAUUUCGGUCGCAAUCCUGCAUGCAGGUUAGCUUCCGCUUUCACAUACAACCACAUGUCUUGAAUGUAAAAAACUAUAAAAGUAACAACUUUCAACAACGGAUCUCUUGGCUCUC
rnacentral:misc_RNA from 1 species